AUCCGGCUGACGAGUCCCAAAUAGGAAGAGACGCGCGUGUUGAAU
rnacentral:hammerhead_ribozyme from 1 species